UACCAAAGAUGAUUGGAGAGA
rnacentral:miRNA from 1 species